AUUCACAGUACUAGUCUGCAUCUUGGUAUCCACAACACAACUAAAGCAAAGACAGGGCAAUGCCUCUACUGCGACAAGAGCAUAUGGACAUUCUGGUCAAAGUAAAGACGGGGAACUACUUCGGAGCAGGGACUAACCAGUAUGUGUACAUCAACAUCCGUAGCAAAGAUGGAACGGAAUCUGGCGACAAAAAACUUGACAUGAGGUUUCAUGAUGAUCACGAAAGCGGGACAGAGGAAGAGUACACACUGAAGCGUGUUAAAGUGACCCCCCCAAUUGAAGAGCUGGAGUUAAAACUAGGGGGGUCCAACCUGCUCCCAAAUGCCCACCCAAUGGAAGACUGGUUCUGCAGCUCUCUUUACGUUCAGCUACAACCAGAGGAUAACGGGCCGACGUACUACUUCCCUGUGCAUCGCUGGCUUA